rnacentral:rRNA from 1 species
GUUGGGUGACUGCGUACCUUUUGUAUAAUGGGUCAGCGACUUAUAUUCUGUAGCAAGGUUAACCGUAUAGGGGAGCCGCAGGGAAACCGAGUCUUAACUGGGCGUUAAGUUGCAGGGUAUAGACCCGAAACCCGGUGAUCUAGCCAUGGGCAGGUUGAAGGUUGGGUAACACUAACUGGAGGACCGAACCGACUAAUGUUGAAAAAUUAGCGGAUGACUUGUGGCUGGGGGUGAAAGGCCAAUCAAACCGGGAGAUAGCUGGUUCUCCCCGAAAGCUAUUUAGGUAGCGCCUCGUGAACUCAUCUUCGGGGGUAGAGCACUGUUUCGGCUAGGGGGUCAUCCCGACUUACCAACCCGAUGCAAACUACGAAUACCGAAGAAUGUUAUCACGGGAGACACACGGCGGGUGCUAACGUCCGUCGUGAAGAGGGAAACAACCCAGACCGCCAGCUAAGGUCCCAAAGUCAUGGUUAAGUGGGAAACGAUGUGGGAAGGCCCAGACAGCCAGGAUGUUGGCUUAGAAGCAGCCAUCAUUUAAAGAAAGCGUAAUAGCUCACUGGUCGAGUCGGCCUGCGCGGAAGAUGUAACGGGGCUAAACCAUG